CACUGCGCUAUCAGCCUCCCAACGCUCUAGCGGGCCGUUGGGGAAGCGCCGCCACACGGCAGCGGUUUGCCUCCGGACCUCGAGGUCUUGUGCGCCCCGAGGAGCCCUUUUGUGGGAUGACCUCAUGAGGAGAGAGCCCCCGCGCCUGGCGGCUGGAUCGCGGCCAGGGCCCUGUCAGGCGCUCGGACCUCUCAGGCCCAGUGUGUCCGCCUGGCGAACCUGUUAACCUCUGCAUCUCCGAAAGGCUGGUACCCGUGGGCGUCCGCACUGCAAAAUUGCGCCUGAGAGGCCCUGUAAAUUCGGAGCAGUGCGCAGGGUCCCGGUAACACAAGCAGAAUCGAGUUAGAAUUUGAGAGUGGGAUCCGAGGGAAGCGCGCUCAGCGGGCGGUUACAUAGCCACUGUCUUCUCUUUCUGUAAUGCGGCUGGCAGUGUGUGUUUGGUUGGUCAUCACAUUUGGAUGAAAUCAGGAGGACAGAUUCCUGCACUUUGAUACACAAUUUGACAUCACAUACCUGGAAUGCUGCUUUCUGUACACUCGGGAGAUCUUGGGGGAAAAACGGCCUGAGGAGGAAAAUGAUACUUGUUGAAUUGGUGAAAGUCCUUCCCACCAAGUGAACCCAAAGUACAAAUGAGGCAUCUUCUCUACGAACUCUUCAUAUUAGAGUACAGAUGUCUGUUCCUACCUCCACCCCCAGGACUAACUCAAGUUCAAGUAUUUCUUAAGAACCAGGAAUUGAAGAAAAAGAGAAGAGAAAAUGAGGGUUGAUUGCAUCAAAAGUGAGACACGAAUAAAAUAAUCAAGAAUUCACAUAUGUCUGUGCAGAAAUCAACUAAUAAAUCAAGAGCAUGUUCUUAGCUAAGUCAGAUGUCUCUUUGAAACAGCAUAUGGUGUAAUACCAGUAUAUUCUAUAUUCAGCUACCUAGCAAGCUGUCUUGUUGCUUUCAAGUAGUGAAGAAUAUAGUAACACAAAUGUUUAUAAGGCAGGUAAAACAUUUUAUUUUGUGCCCUGAUUAGCUAUUGCUGAUUUAAUGAAUACACUGUAAAACCUAAAAUCAUAAAGAAGAAAUGACCUGUUGGCAGAAGUGAAUGUUAAUUGUUACAGUAUCCUACAUUAAACUUAUUCAUCUUCUUAAUAGUUAUUUUGGUGUAAGUUUAACAAGUUUUUAAUUUUGUAUCAAGGCUGUAUUGUAGAGAAUUGGGGAUUUAAAUUUCUGCAUCACUUGUAGAAAGUCAUGAAAUUAUUUCAUCAUACUUCAGAUCCUCAUGAUGGUAUCAUGCUUUAAUCAGAAAAGACUAUAACACUUAAAAAUAUUAUAAUAAUGAUAUUUUACUAUAAAUAAAUAAAUCCUAGUAUAAUUAAAACUAGUUCACAUAGAUUUUUAAAACUUGAUAUAUUAAAAUGUCAGUGACUAAGUGAAGACUUCUGUGGGUGUAUAUAACUUUUUAAGUAAAGUUAUAUACUAUAUUUAAUUGACAAGUGUAGGAGAAAUAUGAAUUGUCAUUAUACUAUAAGGUCAAUGUUAGUCAAUGUCAAAUCGAAAAACUAUAUUCUACUCCUGUAUACACCUUGACCAAAAGCUGUAUAUAGUUUUUGGUCGCUAGUUCUAAAUAAGGACAACUUUAAACUGGAUAUUAUUGAGCUCUGUAUUUUAUCAAAUGGAAAAGAGAAAGAAGGAAUGGAGGAUUUAGUGAAAGGAUAAUUUCGUGAUAGAAUAAGGAGAAAAGUAACAUUGGUAUGAUUUUAUAACAAGCUCCUUUACACUUUUUACAUGUCUAUGUGAAUAAAUCAUUCCAAAUGAAA